GUUGUCAGUUUGUUUUAGAUUUAUGAGUUUGACUGUCCCUUUGGUAUCUUUCGUCCCUCUUUUAUUACCACUGGGUCGAUGUCUCUGCUGGUGGACAUUUUUGUCCCCGAGGACAUCAUCCGCCCAGUAGCAAAACUACAAUUGCAUGAACUUACGAAGAACUAACAGGAAACUGGCUCGGACGUCGCCCAGUAUAAAAAGGUCCGAAACAGACGUCACCAUGGACACGGUGUCGUCUGAUACGGCAGGUGUCCCCUCAUCACCAGACAUGACAAAUAUCCCAAACACGACUCAUUCAGAUCAUCGUCCUAGUGAAAACAGCAACAUUACACAUAUACAGCCAUGUUCAGUUCUCCUUAAAGACAUUUUGGUUUUUUGAUGACACAGUACAACACUGUCGCAUUUCAAAAUGUGAGACCAAAGGCUGCAAAACUUGUGCUAUUUUAAUUACAGAUGCUGAAUUCACUAGCAAUUUGACCAAGAAGUCAUAUUUUACCAGAAGUUACGAUGAUCUGAAUUGUAAAUCGAUAAAUGUCGUCUACGGAUUAGAGUGCAACCUUUGCGGAUUGGUAUACGUCGGUGAAACGAAAGGAAGGCUAAACAAACGGAUGUGCGGUCAUAGAUCAGACAUUAACCUCAAUGCUAACGACAUUCUAUACCAGCAUUUCAAUCAGCCCGAUCAUUCCAUCGUUUCUAUGACAGUUCGCAUUAUCGAAAAGAUAUACCAUAGCUCUAACAAUCCUAAUCUUUCAACG
rnacentral:lncRNA from 1 species